rnacentral:rRNA from 1 species
UACGAAGGGGGCUAGCGUUGCUCGGAAUCAUUGGGCGUAAAGGGUGCGUAGGCGGGUCUUUAAGUCAGGGGUGAAAUCCUGGAGCUCAACUCCAGAACUGCCUUUGAUACUGAAGAUCUUGAGUUCGGGAGAGGUGAGUGGAACUGCGAGUGUAGAGGUGAAAUUCGUAGAUAUUCGCAAGAACACCAGUGGCGAAGGCGGCUCACUGGCCCGGUACUGACGCUGAGGUGCGAAAGCGUGGGGAGCAAACAGG